ensembl:lncRNA
UUACUGUUGCUAGCUAAUUUGUCCUGGGAUAUAAACAUUGAUUUAUUAUUUUACCUGAAAUGCACAAGGUCCUCUACUCUGACAAUUAAUCCACAUAAAACGGUCAACUGAAUCGUUUCUAGUCAUCUCUCCUCCUUCCAGGCUUUUUCUUCUUUGAACUUAUAUGGUGAUUGGCAUCUAAACUUUCAUAGUAUUACCACGACGAUCGACAACACAGUUCGUCUUUCAAUCACCCACGUGGGUAUAACCAAUGAGGAGAUGGCCCUAGGGUAUCUGCUUCUAUAAACCAAUGAGGAGAUGGGAGACGCAGGACUUGCAGCGCGAUCUGCGUCACAAAUAGAACUGACUUCUAUUUUAGCCCUUGGCAACGCAGACGCUCGUUGACGCGCGCGAGCAGUGUGGGUGCAAUAAUUGAAUAAAAUAGAUUUCUAAAAUUAUUUUGCAACGCCCGAGUACGCGACACGAGCUGUGUAGUCAGGGUGUUACACUUUACAUUCUGGCUGUAUUUCAAUUUUCAUCCCUUCUCCUAAAGUGUGUACUCCCCCUCAUGUAUUUAAAAGGAAUGGACUGGUGUGAAGAAUAUGGUGGGAAACUCCUUCCAGCCAUGCCUGCACCAAUCCAAAGCUUUUAAAUGCAUAAGGGGGAGUGAACGAGUGCACACUUCAGGAAAAAGGAAGAGAAUGGGAACAUAGCCCGAGUAGAAGUCAUCUCACCCCUCCCUUCUCUAUUAAUAACAGUAGUCUUUUUUCAGACACGAUGAACACCAGAGGCAGCGGAAAACGCCAAAAAGAUGACAAGCCUGUUGCUAGCACGAGUGCUGAUCCAAAGCUGAGAGCUGAGCUACAGGCAGAAGACAAGAACAAAGUGCUGCUGUACACCAUAACCAGCUUGAAGGAAGACAGACAAGGUCUUCCUCUAAAGCCAGCUGGCUUACCCAAGAGGUACAUAAUCUUUUAAUUAACUUUUACAUUUAAAUUACAAUUGAGAAUUAGUCUGUCCUAAGAUUAAAAGAUGGACUGUAUUGUUAUGAGUAUCAUGAUUUCAAACGCUACAUUACUUAUUUCAUUUGCUGCUUUAAAUAGUUAGUCUGUGUGUAAGG